rnacentral:rRNA from 1 species
CCUACGGGUGGCUGCAGUGGGGGAUAUUGCACAAUGGGGGAAACUCUGAUGCAGCGACGCCGCGUGAGGGAAGACGGUCCUCGGAUUGUAAACCUCUGUCUUUGGGGAAGAAAAUGACGGUACCCACAGAGGAAGCUCCGGCUAACUACGUGCCAGCAGCCGCGGUAAUACGUAGGGAGCGCGCGUUGUCCGGAUUUACUGGGUGUAAAGGGGGCGUAGGCGGGAGUGAAAGCUGAAGGUAAAAACUAGGGGCUAAACUGGGAGGUGCGGUUGAAACUUCUUGUCUUGAGUGAAGGAGAGGCAGGCGGAAUGCCUGGUGUAGCGGUGAAAUGCGUAGAUAUCAGGAGGAACACCGGUGGCGAAGGCGGCCUGCUGG